UACGAAGGGUGCAAACGUUGCUCGGAAUUAUUGGGCGUAAAGCGCACGUAGGCGGCUUUGCAAGUCCCAUGUGAAAUCCCACGGCUCAACCGUGGAAGUGCAUGGGAAACUGCAGAGCUUGAGUACUUAAGAGGGUCGCGGAAUUCCCGGUGUAGAGGUGAAAUUCGUAGAUAUCGGGAGGAACACCAGUGGCGAAGGCGGCGAUCUGGGAAGAUACUGACGCUGAGGUGCGAAAGCGUGGGGAGCAAACAGG
rnacentral:rRNA from 1 species